CCCGCUACCCUCGCGGCUCCGGCGUCCAGGAGGAUACAGCAUGAGCAGUCGCAGCUCCCGCUCUUUCUGCUUCAUCUUCUUCAGAAUGGAACCCAGACUCGGCCAGGAACGGAAACCUGGAUUGUAUCUUGGCUGCACAGGGGGUAGGAGUUGUGACUCAGGAGUCGGAAUCGACAGCCCCAAGGAUGUUGACAAGCUCGUCCGGGGGCCAGUGUAAGGCCCUGUUCCCCGGAAACAUGAUCCAGGUCCUGCUCAUCUUAGGUCUCGGCAUCAUUCUGAACCUGCCAGUUACAGGGCCUCCCCUUUUCCCCGUCUCCUGGACUCGUAGAGGGUGGGCCGGGGAUUCUUCGUCGCGGACGAAAAUGCCCCCUAGGGGCCGUUUCGAAAUGUGCUGGAACAUUUUGGGCUUGUCCCAAUUACAA